UAAAUCAGCAGUAGGGAAUCUUCCACAAUGGACGAAAGUCUGAUGGAGCAACGCCGCGUGCAGGAUGAAGGCUUUCGGGUCGUAAACUGCUUUUACGAGUGACGAUAAUGACGGUAGCUCGUGAAUAAGGAUCGGCUAACUCCGUGCCAGCAGCCGCGGUCAUACGGAGGAUCCAAGCGUUAUCCGGAAUUACUGGGCGUAAAGAGUUGCGUAGGUGGCAUCGUAAGUUGAUAGUGAAAUAGUUCGGCUCAACCGGAUAGACAUUAUUAAAACUGCGAAGCUAGAGGAUGAGAGAGGUUAUUGGAAUUCCUAGUGUAGGAGUGAAAUCCGUAGAUAUUAGGAGGAACACCGAUGGCGUAGGCAGAUAACUGGCUCAUUCCUGACACUAAGGCACGAAAGCGUGGGUAGCAAACGGGAUUAGAUACCCCGGUAGUCCACGCUGUAAACGAUGGAUGCUAGCUGUAUUCGGUAUCGACCCCGGA
rnacentral:rRNA from 1 species